CGACGUCGAGUUGGCGGCGGAGGAAGACUCGGCAUGAAGGCCAGCCGCCCGGUGGUGUGGUACGUAGUGGUAAUAGUACGCGCCCCGCUCCGAAACAAAGAAAAAGGUGCGUGCCGCACUCACGAGGGACUGCCAGUGAGAUACGGGAGGAAGGUGGGGAUGACGUCAAGUCCGCAUGGCCCUUAUGGGCUGGGCCACACACGUGCUACAAUGGCAAUGACAAUGGGAAGCAAGGCUGUAAGGCGGAGCGAAUCCGGAAAGAUUGCCUCAGUUCGGAUUGUUCUCUGCAACUCGG
rnacentral:ncRNA from 1 species